AAAAUCUACCUUAAUUUCCCCUAUAUAACAUCUUUUCCAUUCAUUUGUAAGGGGGACUUUUUUUUUGGAGAGAGUGGAAGAAAAGAAAAUUUUCAGAGCAAAACAUAGAGGAGAGUUUUGAGGAAAAUAUUUUAAUACACGCUAAAUACGCUUCAUAAGUGAAAGAGAUAAUAGUUUUCGGUUUUGUGUUUAAGUUCCUGCC
rnacentral:lncRNA from 1 species